ACGUAGGGGGCAAGCGUUGAUCGGAAUCACUGGGCGUAAAGGGCGUGCAGGCGGCUGGCUAAGUUCGUUGUGAAAGCGCCCAGGCUUAACCGGGCGAGGACAAUGAAGACUGGUCAGCUAGAGGACGGUAGAGGCAAGUGGAAUUCCGGGUGUAGUGGUGAAAUGCGUAGAGAUCCGGAGGAACCCCGGUGGCGAAGGCGACUUGCUGGGCCUGAACUGACGCUCAGACGCGAAAGCAUGGGGAGCGAACGG
rnacentral:rRNA from 1 species